UUUGUGUCUGUCAGAAAACAGACCAGCGUCACCCAAACAAAUGCAGCUCUGACAUCAUCAUCGUCAUCUCAUGUUCUGGAGUCAUUAUGGUCUUUCUGAUAAUCACCAUCACCUUCUGCAUUCACAGGAAAUGGAAAAUCAGCAAGGAUUCAAGUCACAGAGAAACAGGACAGGAUCUUUCACAGGCACCGGCCAGAGGAAGGAUACAGACUCAAAACAGUCAGUACUUUGAGAGAUUCAACUCUGUGUAUGGACAAAUAUGAUGUUUUUUUUAUUAUUAUUAUUAUUAUUUUAUUUUUAUUUUUUUUCAGAAAAGUUUAAAAUUUUACCUCAGAUGUUUUUGAUAUUUAAGUAAUAAUUACCUGUGUAAUCUAAUAAAGUCAAUUAAACAAGA